ACUGGUUAUAGUGCUAUACAGGAAACCUGGCAGCGCCGGAGCCGCGCGGUCGAGGAGGGAGCGCGGGACGCCGAGCCCACGCGCGCCUGCCGGGACAAGUGGAGACGAGGCCGGCGAGCGGACGCCCCGAGGUGCCCGGGCAGGCAGUGGGCCGCCGAGCGGGAGUUGAGGUGGGAGGUGGGGUGGGGGUGGGGAAAGGGGCAGGGUUGGGGAGGGAAGGGUGCGGCAGGUGGCGGGUCCGCACCCGGGAGCUCCGCGCGCCUGCUCCCCUUGUCUCCGUGCUGGGGCGGGAGCUGCUCGGGCCGCAUCCCACGGGGAGGAGAAGGUAGGCGAAGGGCUGCCCUCCCUCUGGAGGCGGGUGGGGAGCAGGCCCAGGCCCCUAGCGCCGACCCAGGCGUUGACGCCGCUGUAGCUUGCGUCGCCUGGGCAGUGGACGCAGGGGACCUCCUGGCGACGGGUGCGCUCUCGCGCUCCAGGGAUCCUCUCGGCCCCCACCAAUCCCUCCCCUUCUCUGUGUUCCCGCAGGUUGGCGAAGGAGCUGUGGCCGGGUCCCCUUCUUAUCCAGCCCGAGACACUGCGCUCCGCUCCGAUUCCGCGAAACCUCUCCGGCACCACCUCGGAAGCCCCGCCCAGGGCGAUGGUCCGGGCCUAACCUGCCGGCCCCGCCCACCCGGCCCUUGGGCUCCCUGAGGCCCGCCCAGCAGACUCGAGGAACGCUUGACAAAGUGGCGAAGGAGCCCUACGGGAGUCCCGGAUUGGACCCUGCUCCUUCGGUCCCUCAGCCUCGGCAAGCCGCGGUCUCCUGGCCCUUGGCCUGGGUCACCUUAGGAGGCAGGAGGAGAUGUGGUCAGUGUGGGAGCUUGGAGGGGCCAUGCACUUCCGGAGAAGACCACCGACUCAUGGCUUUGGUGGAGGGGCGCCGGCAGAUUUAGUUAAGCUCUCCCCCAUCCCUGACACACCCAGCCGGGGCGGGAGCGGGGCUUGUGACCACUCCGGAGAGCUUUGAGGGCCCCUGCUUUGGGACUCCGCACGGACAGUCACUGUCUCAGAGUGCAUUCUCCAGGGGCCACUCUCUUGGGGACACUGUAGGGGUCACAGGGCAGGUGGGCAGCCUCUCUCGGGGGGCGGCGUGAGAGCCGGAGAGCAGGGGGCGGGGGCGGGCCCGGCUCGGGCUCACGUCUGCGUUGAAGCCGCUGGGGAAGGGGAGAGAAACCGAGAGAACCGGUUCCCCCGCCUUGACAGCGGAGGCCCCCACACCAAGGCCCUUGGACUAAGCGGGGCAGGGACAGCCUCCAGGUAGAGCUGUUCGCCGGGGCGCCUGCAGAGCCCGCAUCCCAACCCUGACCCCGGGGCCGGGGCGCAGGCUCCUGGAGGGAGGCGUCCAGGCGGGACAGGGCCCGGGGAGCGGCAGGAAAUGGGCUGCUCUUCCCACUUGACUGACGGGAAAACUAAGGCACGGUCAACUAUCAAGCAAGCGUGGUGUCGACCUUAGAGCAGGACUGAAGCGAGGCUGAAAUCUUAGAAUCAACCCCACGGAAUGAAGAGGUUGUCCUAAUUCCAGCACUGAGUGAAAAUGCCGCGGCCGCAAUGGCGGCGGAUGUGGAGGGGGACGUGUACGUACUGGUGGAGCACCCCUUCGAGUACACCGGCAAGGACGGGCGCCGCGUGGCCAUCCCGCCCAAUGAGCGCUACCGGCCGCUGCGGCGCAGCACAGAGCACUGAGCAUUGGUGGCACGUGCGGCGCAAGCCCGGCGGCCGCCCCUUCUACCUGCCCGCGCAGUACGUGCGCGAGCUGCCUGCGCUGGGCAACCCUGCCGCUGACGCGCCGCCAGGUCCCCCCAUCGGGACCCGCAGCCCCUGAGCCGCUCGCCUAC
rnacentral:lncRNA from 1 species